rnacentral:rRNA from 1 species
CCUACGGGGGGCAGCAGUGGGGAAUAUUGCACAAUGGACGAAAGUCUGAUGGAGCAACGCCGCGUGAGUGAAGAAGGGUUUCGGCUCGUAAAGCUCUGUUGGUAGUGAAGAAAGAUAGAGGUAGUAACUUGCCUUUAUUUUACGGUAAUUACUUAGAAAGUCACGGCUAACUACGUGCCCGCAGCCGCGGUAAUACGUCGGUGGCAAGCGUUUUCCGGAUUUAUUGGGCGUAAAGCGAGUGCAGGCGGUUU